AAUUGGAGUUCGACUCUCCUCUUCCUUCAGCGGCAGCGACGCCUGAGGUUCUUCGAAAUCUCUGUAACAGUGGGAGUUAUGAGCUAUGCCGGAGCUUCACCGUGGAGUCUUUGUAGCCAGGUUAUUCAGAUGGUGUCUGUCGUAUAUCUGAAUCGUCUUACAGACAAGAAACAGAGGAGCACGACAAAAGGGGUGCUAGCGAUUAGUAAAAAUAGUGGUGGCUCCAACAAGGCGGCUGCACAUGAAGAAGAAGGAAAUACUCCUCCUUUCCCUAAAAGGGUUGAGAAAGCUGAGAAAAGGUGGUUUUGGACAAGUGUUUGUGGGACGGUGUAUUAGUGGUGGUAAUGAACAAAAUACAUGAGCUAGCAUCUUAAAGUUGCUCUGAAGUUUGACCAUCGAACCAGCACGGGGUUGAAGAAGACGUGUUCACCCUGAGCGGGAACAUUCCAUCUCGCCGACCACAAAAGAGGACACUGACCUUCCAGAAACAUCUCGAUGCAAGUCACCAGAUGUUCGAGGAGUUGCCUUGCACACAAUUUUACAAAGAAAUAUAUCGUCUUAGUCUCCCACCAGGGAUGUCUACGGUGUUGGAGAUUUCAGUUGUAGAUGGUGCUGCAGCAAACAGGUAAAUAACUCAUUUUAUAAGUUAGUUCAAAGCUUCUCAUAUCACUACUUAUUCUUCUCAGUUUUUUUUAAAUCAACAUUUAUUUGUUCCCGAGGUUUCCCUUUUUUUUUACUUAUGAUGAAAAACUUACAUUAUAACUCAUCUUAUAAAGCGGUAGAGGCAAUCGAUCUUCUUAAAAUUUUUGAAUACAUCUUCAGCUGUGACCUCUUUGAUUGUGUGGAAGAAAGCAUUGGUUCGUUUAUGUAUAAACGGUUCACCCUCAGUAAAUCGGCGGGGUCCCGAGGAAGCUGGGCCUGCGCUUCCAGCAAACUUUAAUGGUUAAUAUGAAUCUUAGUUUUGGUCUCAGGCGUAAAAUCAGAGUAGUAAUGUUUUCUAUCUCAGUUUCGAGAAACAAAGGUUGCUGGCAAAAUUAGUGGACACCACUAGGAUUUCAAGGGGGAGAUGUCAAACUGAGACGCUCUCCUAGAUGGUUAACUGAACCAUAGCGAUGCUCUGAUGGCAUAGCGAACAGCCACAAAAGCAGUGGUUCGGAUUUAGGAAGCAUUUAGAGAUAAUGCACUGAAGUCGGCACACUCAAAGGUCAUCCUUUUUGCCAACAUGGAAGAAGAGGCUAGGAGCAUAGGAUGAAGAUAUAGAACGCAUUCCUCAAAUACGAUAUGCAUAGCAAUGUUAAAACUUGUCCGGAUUCACAGUCGUUUCCAAACAUGGAAUAUUCAAAGAGUUCCACAAUAUGUGGGGUCAACAUGUAAUAGCGUUGACUUUGUAAGUUUUCUUUCAAGUAUGCAACCCAUGAGUGCUUGUGAAAGACUGUUUAUUUACUUUU